ACAGGGAUUACCUCAGUAACGGCGAGUGAAGCGGUAACAGCUCAAAUUUGAAAUCUGGCUCUUUCAGGGUCCGAGUUGUAAUUUGUAGAAGAUGCUUUGGGUGUGGCUCCGGUCUAAGUUCCUUGGAACAGGACGUCAUAGAGGGUGAGAAUCCCGUAUGUGACUGGCUGCCUUCGCCUAUGUAAAGCUCUUUCGACGAGUCGAGUUGUUUGGGAAUGCAGCUCUAAAUGGGAGGUAUAUUUCUUCUAAAGCUAAAUAUUGGCCAGAGACCGAUAGCGCACAAGUAGAGUGAUCGAAAGAUGAAAAGCACUUUGGAAAGAGAGUUAAACAGUACGUGAAAUUGUUGAAAGGGAAGCGCUUGCAACCAGACUUGCAUGCCGUCGAUCAUCCUGGGUUCUCCCUGGUGCACUCGGCGGCGUUCAGGCCAGCAUCGGUUUCGGUGGUUGGAUAAAGGCCUUGGGAAUGUAGCUCCUCUCGGGGAGUGUUAUAGCCCUCGGUGCAAUGCAGCCUACCGGGACCGAGGACCGCGCUUCGGCUAGGAUGCUGGCGUAAUGGUUGUAAGCGACCCGUCUUGAAACACGGACCAAGGAGUCUAACAUCUAUGCGAGUGUUUGGGUGUUAAACCCAUACGCGUAAUUAACGUGAACGGAGGUGAGAACCCUUUAGGGUGCAUCAUCGACCGAUCCUGAUGUCUUCGGAUGGAUUUGAGUAAGAGCAUAGCUGUUGGGACCCGAAAGAUGGUGAACUAUGCCUAAAUAGGGUGAAGCCAGAGGAAACUCUGGUGGAGGCUCGCAGCGGUUCUGACGUGCAAAUCGAUCGUCAAAUUUGGGUAUAGGGGCGAAAGACUAAUCGAACCAU
rnacentral:rRNA from 1 species